CAAUAGCGUAUAUUAAAGUUGUUGCGGUUAAAAAGCUCGUAGUUGGAUUUCUGGUGGAGACAACCGGUCCGGCUUAAGGCCGUGUAUCUGGUCUGGCUCCGUCAUCCGGAAGUUUAAGGUGCGUCGCUUUAUUGCGAUGUCCGUAAGCUUCCCUUUUACUUUGAGGAAAUUAGAGUGUUCACAGCAGGCAAUCGCCGUGAAUACGUUAGCAUGGAAUAAUCAUAUAGGACUUCGGCCCUAUUUUGUUGGUUUCUAGAGCUGAAGUAAUGAUUAAUAGGAACAAUUGGGGGCAUUCGUAUUAUGGCGUCAGAGGUGGAAUUCUUGGAUUGCCGUACGACGAACUACUGCGAAAGCAUUUGCCAAGGAUGUUUUCAUUGAUCAAGAACGAAAGUAAGGGGAUCGAAGAUGAUUAGAUACCAU
rnacentral:rRNA from 1 species